ACUACGGAGAGUUUGAUCCUGGCUCAGGACGAACGCUGGCGGCGUGCUUAACACAUGCAAGUCUACGAGAAUAAGAUAGCAAUAUCUUUAGUAAAGUGGCGCACGGGUGAGUAACACGUAAGUAACCUACCUUUAGAUUUGGAAUAACCCCGAGAAAUCGGAGCUAAUACCGAAUGAUGCAGCGGCACCACAUGGUGAUGUUGUUAAAGUUUAUAUGACGUCUAAAGAUGGGCUUGCGUCUGAUUAGUUAGUUGGUGAGGUAACGGCCCACCAAGGCUACGAUCAGUAGCUGGUCUGAGAGGAUGAUCAGCCACACUGGAACUGAGACACGGUCCAGACUCCUACGGGAGGCAGCAGUGAGGAAUAUUGGGCAAUGCCCGAAAGGGUGACCCAGCAACGCCGCGUGGAGGAUGAAUGCCGUAAGGUUGUAAACUCCUGUUAGAGGGGAAGAAAAAUCUCGAUCGAAUCGAGAACUGACUGUACCCUCAGAGAAAGCCCCGGCUAACUACGUGCCAGCAGCCGCGGUAAUACGUAGGGGGCA
rnacentral:ncRNA from 1 species